GUUGAGCACAUUGAAACCGCUCGUGGAGUGAAAGGAAAGGAAGGCCUCGCGGGAGAUGGUUUAAAAUGAGUAAAAACUAAAAGAUAAACCUUCAUUUAAACCGAGUCUUGGUUCUGGAUUUAGCAGAAUUCACUGGAUCCAAAAUCCAGGAGCUGCUGCAGCCUCAUUCGUCCUACGGUGAUCUGCUGCAAUCAUUUAAAGGAACAAGGUUAGUGAUUUAUGCAGGGGGGGUUUUAUUUAAGGCUCUUAUUUGGUCCAGGAUCCAAGGAGAACUCAGGCUUCAGGACAGCGGUGUUCUGUCAGAGCAGCAUCCCUACAGUCAAUACCUGUUUAUCCCUUUAGUUUUAUACAAAAAAAAAA